GGUAAACUGUCAGACAUUAAAUCGACGUGGUCCUCUGGCCCUGCCUCCCACACGCAAGCCUCUCUGUCUCAUGAACUGUGGAAGGUGCCCAGAAACACUACUGCACCCACGAGGCCACCUCCAGGGUUAACCAAUCCCAAGCCCUCCUCCACCUGGGGUGCCAGCCCCCUCGGCUGGACCAGCUCCUACUCCUCGGGUUCUGCCUGGAGCACCGACACCUCAGGAAGAACCAGCAGCUGGCUCGUUCUUCGAAACCUCACUCCCCAGGUGCAAUAUGGUGCCCCUGCAUCACUGAGCAUGAUCCAGGGAGGGUUCCCGCUUGGCCCCCGAUGCAGAUGAGGCUGUCUGGCGGGGCAGGAUAGUUGGGGUUCUUGGUCAGGGUCCGUAGGUGACGCUGCAUAGGAGGAGAUGAGCAAGUGCCAGGAUUGGCUCCAGCAGCGGCAGCAGAUGGGGCCUAGGGGCCUCUUUUAACCACGUUCCUGGUGAAUUGUUUGUUUACCCACUAGAGGCUGGAAAAGCGUGCUCUGUAAAUAGAAUUGUUUG
rnacentral:sRNA from 1 species